rnacentral:lncRNA from 1 species
UUAAGGAGGAAAAAUAAUGUGUUAUUUCCUUUGUUUCAUUUAGUGCUCACAAUAUGCAAGUGAAAUCUGUAGGAUCGGCUUCAAUUACAGAUGAUAAAACUGAGGCUUAAAAAAAUUUAAUAGUUUUUUCAGGGUCACACAUUAAUUAGUGGAGGAUAUUAAUUAGUAGAGGAGCAGGGAUUCAGUGCUUGGUGUUAGAUGGGACAUCUGCUAUGUCCUCUGUAUAAGUGGCCUUGUAUUCCCAGCUUCAUUUGGACCCUAGAAAAUCAGCUAUUGCUAUCCUGCAGCAUCUCCUUUUUUCUAAUCGGAUAGAAAUUCCUAAAGGUUUUGUUUCCUCAGAAAGAAAAUUGAGAAAUAUGCACCCUACACUAGAAAUAAACAAUGUACAAUUUACUUAAUAACAUCAAAUAUGCAUACUAUACACAUAUAUAAUAUUAAUUUUUAAUUCUGUAUUUAUAUGUCAGUACCAUAUCAUUAAGAAAAUCAUGAGGUAGAAAAGUUAUUGAUUAUGAGCAUAGGUUUAGAAUUCAGUAUAGGGUAUGAACUGAGCUCAACUGUUUACAUCUUAUUAUGUGAAUUUUCCGAAGCUCCAUGAAAUAAUAAAACCUGAUUCAUAGUGUUUCUCUGAUAUAAUAAAAUAAAAUUCAUAAACUCUAUAUAGCACAAUGUUUGGCA